rnacentral:rRNA from 1 species
UCCUACGGGAGGCAGCAGUGAGGAAUAUUGGUCAAUGGGCGUGAGCCUGAACCAGCCAAGUAGCGUGCAGGAAGACGGCCCUACGGGUUGUAAACUGCUUUUAUGCGGGGAUAAACGUCGCUACGUGUAGCGAUUUGCAGGUACCGCAUGAAUAAGGACCGGCUAAUUCCGUGCCAGCAGCCGCGGUAAUACGGAAGGUCCUGGCGUUAUCCGGAUUUAUUGGGUUUAAAGGGAGCGUAGGCGGCUUAUCAAGCGUGCUGUGAAAUGCGGUGGCUCAACCACUGGAGUGCAGCGCGAACUGGUUUGCUUGAGUGCGCGGAACGAGGGCGGAAUUCGCGGUGUAGCGGUGAAAUGCUUAGAUAUCGCGAAGAACUCCGAUUGCGAAGGCAGCUCUCGGCAGCGCUACUGACGCUGAUGCUCGAAGGUGCGGGUAUCGAACAGGAUUAGAUACCCUGGUAGUCC